rnacentral:rRNA from 1 species
UUAUAAGAGACAGCAGCAGCCGCGGUAAUACGGAGGGUGCAAGCGUUAAUCGGAAUUACUGGGCGUAAAGCGCACGCAGGCGGUUUGUUAAGUCAGAUGUGAAAUCCCCGAGCUUAACUUGGGAACUGCAUUUGAAACUGGCAAGCUAGAGUCUUGUAGAGGGGGGUAGAAUUCCAGGUGUAGCGGUGAAAUGCGUAGAGAUCUGGAGGAAUACCGGUGGCGAAGGCAAUCCCCUGGACCUGUACUGACGCUCAUGCACGAAAGCGUGGGGAGCAAACAGGAUUAGAUACCCCUGUAGUCCCUGUCUCUUAUAC